rnacentral:rRNA from 1 species
UACGGAGGGGGCAAGCGUUAUCCGGAAUUAUUGGGCGUAAAGGGCGCGUAGGCGGCUUGACAAGUCAAAGGUGAAAUCCCUCGGCUCAACUGAGGAACUGCCUUUGAAACUGUCUGGCUUGAGGCCGGGAGGGGGUAGCGGAAUUCCCAGUGUAGCGGUGAAAUGCGUAGAUAUUGGGAGGAACACCAGUGGCGAAGGCGGCUACCUGGACCGGUUCUGACGCUGAUGCGCGAAAGCGUGGGUAGCAAACAGG